AGGUGGUGCUGGUGGCCCCAUCGGAUGUUCCCCGAUGUACUUCUCCAGGCAGAUCUUCACAGCAGUCACUUUCUCUGGUGUUGCCAGAAGCUUCCCAGAUGCAUCAGAGAUAGUCCGGCCGGCCUGCCCAGUCGGGCUUCUUUCCCCAGCUUGUGUUGGUGUCCACAGGUGCUGUGCCAGACCUAAUGCACACUUGGCUUCGGAGGUACACUUUA
rnacentral:lncRNA from 1 species